rnacentral:rRNA from 1 species
UAAGAGGUCCCGCCUGCCCUGUGACUAUAUGUUUAACGGCCGCGGUAUUUUGACCGUGCGAAGGUAGCGCAAUCACUUGUCUUUUAAAUGGGGACCUGUAUGAAUGGCAUAACGAGGGCUUAACUGUCUCCUUUUUCAAGUCAGUGAAAUUGAUCUCCCCGUGCAGAAGCGGGGAUAGGCACAUAAGACGAGAAGACCCUGUGGAGCUUCAGACACUAAAGCAGAUCAGUAUUAAUACCCUGAACAUAAGGCACGAAUAAGAUGAUUCCUGCCCUAAUGUCUUCGGUUGGGGCGACCGCGGAGAAAUAUAUAACCCCCGCAAGGACUGAAUGUACUACAUUCACAACCAAGAGUGACAACUCUAAUUAACAGAACUUCUGACCAAUAAGAUCCGGCAAUGCCGAUUAAUGAACCAAGUUACCCCAGGGAUAACAGCGCAAUCUCCUCUUAGAGUCCAUAUCGACGAGGAGGUUUACGACCUCGAUGUUGGAUCAGGACAUCCUAAUGGUGCAACCGCUAUUAAGGGUUCGUUUGUUCAACG